rnacentral:rRNA from 1 species
AUUGAACGCUGGCGGCAGGCCUAACACAUGCAAGUCGAACGAGUGGCGGACGGGUGAGUAAUGUCUGGGAAACUGCCUGAUGGAGGGGGAUAACUACUGGAAACGGUAGCUAAUACCGCAUACCAUCAGCUGUGCCCAGAUGGGCUUAGCUUGUUGGUGGGGUAACGGCUAACCAAGGCGACGCUCCCUAGCUGGUCUGAGAGGAUGACCAGCCACACUUGAACUGGGUCACGGUCCAGACUCCUACGGUAGGCAGCAGUGGGGAAUAGUGCACAAGGGGCGCAAGCCUGAUUCAGCCAUUCCGCGUGGAGGAAGAAUGCCUUCGGGUUGUAAAGUACUUUCAGCGGGGAGGCGUUACCCGCAGAAGAAGCACCGGCUAACUCCGUGCCAGCCGCCGCGGUAAUUC